AUUGCUUUAGCAUUUAAUUGGGCCAUCUUCUUAUCAACCUCAUCCCAUUCUUUCUCAGGUUUGGUUGAUUCCUCACCAUCUAUAAUUUUAGUGGAUGUGUGAGGACCAUUUACUAUGAUACUCCACAUAUCAUAGUCGAGUGCUUGAAUGAAUAUUUUUAUCCGAGCUUUCCAAUAGGUGUAAUUUGACCCAUUGAAAAGUGGAGGUCGGUUGGUGGAUUGCCCCUCGGCUAGAGA
rnacentral:lncRNA from 1 species